AUUGAACGCUGGCGGCAGGCCUAACACAUGCAAGUCGAGCGGAUGAAGGGAGCUUGCUCCUGGAUUCAGCGGCGGACGGGUGAGUAAUGCCUAGGAAUCUGCCUGGUAGUGGGGGAUAACGUCCGGAAACGGGCGCUAAUACCGCAUACGUCCUGAGGGAGAAAGUGGGGGAUCUUCGGACCUCACGCUAUCAGAUGAGCCUAGGUCGGAUUAGCUAGUUGGUGGGGUAAAGGCCUACCAAGGCGACGAUCCGUAACUGGUCUGAGAGGAUGAUCAGUCACACUGGAACUGAGACACGGUCCAGACUCCUACGGGAGGCAGCAGUGGGGAAUAUUGGACAAUGGGCGAAAGCCUGAUCCAGCCAUGCCGCGUGUGUGAAGAAGGUCUUCGGAUUGUAAAGCACUUUAAGUUGGGAGGAAGGGCAGUAAGUUAAUAUCUUGCUGUUUUGACGUUACCAACAGAAUAAGCACCGGCUAACUUCGUG
rnacentral:rRNA from 1 species